AUUGAACGCUGGCGGCAUGCCUUACACAUGCAAGUCGAACGGCAGCGCGGGAGCAAUCCUGGCGGCGAGUGGCGAACGGGUGAGUAAUAUAUCGGAACGUGCCCAGUAGUGGGGGAUAGCCAGGCGAAAGCCGGAUUAAUACCGCAUACGACCUACGGGUGAAAGGGGGGGAUCGCAAGACCUCUCGCUAUUGGAGCGGCCGAUAUCAGAUUAGGUAGUUGGUGGGGUAAAAGCAUACCAAGCCUGCGAUCUGUAGUUGGUCUGAGAGGACGACCAGCCACACUGGGACUGAGACACGGCCCAGACUCCUACGGGAGGCAGCAGUGGGGAAUUUUGGACAAUGGGGGCAACCCUGAUCCAGCAAUGCCGCGUGCAGGAAGAAGGCCUUCGGGUUGUAAACUGCUUUUGUCAGGGAAGAAAUCCCUUGGGUUAAUACCUCGGGGGGAUGACGGUACCUGAAGAAUAAGCACCGGCUAACUACGUGCCAGCCGCCGCGGUAA
rnacentral:rRNA from 1 species